rnacentral:lncRNA from 1 species
CUUGAAAGGCAUACCUCGUCCUAGGGUAGUCAUCAGCAGUGGAUAAGAGUCUUUCUCCUUGUUAGUUGCUGAUUUCUGCUUGGUCGCACUUCCACUGCUGUCAGCUGCAGUCCGAGAGGGUGCAGCCCAGCUUGCAUGGUGCCAGAAAACUCCCAACCUGCUGACGCAUUUUCUACUGGCUUCCCUCUGCAACUCAGCUACUUGUUGUAACUCCUAUUCCUGCAUGCUUGAUCCUCUGCUCCCUGUAAAGGCAGUUUGGUGAAGUCCAGUCCCAGAACCAGGCUCCUAAGAAGGCUGGCUGUGGCACUGCUGGGAAUUGCCACAUGGAUCUCAGACCAGGCUUUUGUGUGGAAACAAGGUAAGUCACCCUGAAAUUCCUGACUUCAUAAAGGUUUGUCUCUCUCAUCAUACAGGCUCAGCAAUUUAGUUUGAAAAAUCCUGGAAACUGAAAGAUUAUAU